rnacentral:tRNA from 1 species
UCCGACAUAGCUCAGCGGUAGAGCAGUUGACUGUUAAUCAAUUGGUCCCUGGUUCGAUCCCAGGUGUCGGAGCCA